ACCUACAGCCGUACCGCCCUAAACAUGCCUGGUGUCAUCUGAUCUUGGAAACUAAGUAGGGUCGUGCCUGGUUAGUACUUGGAUGGGAGGAUGUUAAACCACUGAAAAUU
ensembl:rRNA 5S_rRNA 5S ribosomal RNA